UACGGAGGGUGCAAGCGUUUCCGGAUUUACUGGGUUUAAAGGGUGCGUAGGUGGGUUGGUAAGUCAGUGGUGAAAUACUUUCGCUUAACGAAGGAACUGCCAUUGAUACUAUCAAUCUUGAAUGUAGUGGAGGUAGGCGGAAUGCGUCAUGUAGCGGUGAAAUGCUUAGAUAUGACGCAGAACACCAAUUGCGAAGGCAGCUUGCUACACUACUAUUGACACUGAGGCACGAAAGCGUGGGGAUCAAACAGG
rnacentral:rRNA from 1 species